UGGGGUAUCGCCAAGUGGUAAGGCACUGGUUUCUGGUACCAGCAUUCCCAGGUUCGAAUCCUGGUACCCCAGCCA
rnacentral:tRNA from 5 species